UCGAGUCUUUCGCUUCGGUAAUU
rnacentral:miRNA from 1 species